rnacentral:rRNA from 1 species
CCUAUCAGAGGGGAAUAACAGUGAGAAAUCACUGCUAAUACCGCAUAUGCCAUAGUCAUCGCAUGAUGAUAGUGGGAAAGAAGCAAUUCGCUGAUAGAUGAGCUUGCGGCUGAUUAGCUAGUUGGUGGGGUAACGGCCUACCAAGGCGACGAUCAGUAGCCGGACUGAGAGGUCGAACGGCCACAUUGGGACUGAGAUACGGCCCAGACUCCUACGGAAGGCAGCAG